rnacentral:lncRNA from 1 species
CAAUGAGCUGCAUGGAACUCUACUGAUAAGUGACUGAUUUUCCCUGCAAGGAUUGUCUUAUUUUAAACUUCAAAUUUAGUUGCCUUACUUUAUGCAAGGCAAUUUUGAAUGGAUUUUAAAGCCAUAUUAUAAGUACCAGGAUAAUGCAAGAAAGCUUUUCUUAAAGCUUUUCCAGCAUAAGGCAAAGGAAGGAUUGCCAACAGUUGCUUGUCAGAGAAUGUCUGGUAGGUGAGUUCACUUAGGGUGGCUUCUUCUACCGGGAACAGGAAGAAGGUAUUAAUCCAAACAAAUGGAGACAGAAGACCACCUCACAUUUUUUUGUGACCUAGAAUUUGGAGAACGUGUUGGAGACUGAUGGAUACAUACACAGAACCCACCACGGACUUGCUGAAUAGGUGCCAGACUGCCCAACUUUCCUGUUUAUCACCCUUUAUUCUGAGGAUCAUCUUGUAUAAAACACAGACCCAUGAAAUAUAAGAAAGAAUCAUUAAUUAAAAAAACAAAAGAGGGGUGCCUGAGUUGCUCAGUCAUUAAGCCUCUGCUUUAGGCUCAGGUCAUGAUCCUGGGGCCCUGCUCAGUGGAGAGCCUGCUUCUUUCUCUUCCUCUCCCUGUCUGACUCCCUGCUUGUGCUCUUUCUCUCUCUCUCUCUCUCUCUCUGUCAAAUAAAUACAUAAAUAAAAUCUUAAAAAUAAAUAAA